ACUUGUAUGCUUUCGCCGAAUUGGGUAUAAUCGAGUAUAUUGUCUGAGUAACUAACGUGAAUUGCUUCGUUUCAGAAAGCAAUGCCGCGUUGUGGACGACCUAAGUUGCCUCGUUGUCACGACCCGCGACCACCCGACAAUUUGGCCGGGUCGCGGCGCCGCUGACAGACCGCCGAACGGACAGAGUUUCCCCUGUACGUCCUAGCCGUCGCAAUCAAUACAAUUAUAAUAGGUUCCAACCAGGAACAGUAUUCAACAUACAACGAUUGCAUAAGGAAGGUAUCAAUAACAUAAACACAUCCUAAGUUAUUACAUUCAUUCAUUCAUCUCACUUGAUAUUAUUUACAUUUCUUUUCCUUUCAAAUACAUUUAGACUUCCGAAUACAAUCAAUCAUCACAAGAUUAUUACAAGUUUGAUCCUUUUGCUUUUCCUUUCCGACAACCCUUAGUUUGGCUGACUUGGGUACCGCUAUCUCUGGUCACGGUGGUAGGGCGCUAUCUACGGAGCUACGCCCUCGCCUCGCGCCGCCGCGCCGCUCGCGUGUGAACCUGUAACACCCCAAAAGCAACGUGGGGUAAGAACUAACUCCAUAGUUCCCAGUGGGUACGGCCACCUAAGGGAAAAGCUCGACUGACAGGUCCGAAGGAGGCAACUGCAGGUUAGUUCAAUAAACAGAAAGAUAUGAUAAUAGGAUUAUGCAACUAACAAUACCAUGCAUUGCCUCGCGAUAUGCAAUAUGAAGAUCAUGCAAUAAUGCAACUAUACAACCAUCUAGUAAUUCAAUCGAUUACUACUUUCAUCCAAUUGGCCUUUAAGGUUUUCUGUUCUUUACCGUUUUUGUCAUAAAGUUUCAUCUACUUUUACAAAGCUAACUGCCCGACUCGGUCUUGAGUCAAUCAUCUGCGGAGUACCGCACAAAGCCAGGCUCGAGGCGAAGGACGUCUCGCUUGCACCUCAGCCUAAUGUCCACUCUACUAGGACUCAACUACCGCUCAUGCCUAACUAGCAUAAUUCUCGUGAGUACAUUACCCAAUCUACUGGCUGGCCAUCUCGAUUCGUAGGAAGCCGUCAUCGGGACCCCAAAUAGGCCAUCCCUCGUGACUCAAACUACGAAUCCGAGACCGUCUGCGGGACUCCAAAUAGGCCAUCCCUCGGGACCCCAAAUAGGCCAUCCCUAUCCCACGGGACCCCAAACAGGCCAUCCCUCGUGACUGACUCCGGAGCGCACUACUUGUGUGGAGCGACCAUCACAAGCUGGGAACAGACAAUGAGUAUGAUCAAUUCUGUAUCCAACGAGAAUAUCUUGUCACUAGGACCAUCAUGCACAGGUGUUCUUUUAACACUAAGUUCUAAUGCCACUCGUCAAGUUGUUUACUUGGUUGCAUGCCACUCGUCACAAUGUAAUACCUCAGCUAUUUAGUCAUAUAUCAUCCCAUUGUAGGAAUCCAAACCAUGUCAUGAUAUUAAUACUAUAUUUGUAUUUCCAAUGUCGAGUUUUCUAAUCAUCCAAGAGUUUUAGACCCAAGUCAACAUGCAUAUGUUCCAACUUGCAUAAUAUAGCCUAUGCAUUCAUACGACAUCAUUUUCAUGCAUCUCUUUAACAUUUAGUUCAUGCUUUCAUCUAACAUUCAACAUAUUAAUUUGUCAUUAUCAACUAGCAUGCAUUAUAUUCAUAUGCAAUUAUCAUGCAAUAUACGUUUCUCACAUUAUAUGUAUUUACCCAAUCUUCACAUCAUAUGCAUCAUAUAGCAUUCAACCCAUUAUAUGCAUCAACUAGGAAAUCAUAUUUUUCUUCGACAUGAAGGCGACCUAGUCGCUUCGGUAAGCACAACCCACCUUAACUUACUCUCCGAUUGCUCGUAGUCACUUGCAAUCGACCGCCCGCGGCACUCGGCACCCGUUUGGGCUCGAUCUCACAGUUGCUCUCCAAGAGCGCGUCGCUUCGCCAUUUCAAGUGCUAACGGUCUUCGCCUCGCCGUUACGAUGCUCAGGACCCGAUUUCAUGAUUUAUGGACGUCGCCUCGGCCCUCCAGGCGGAAACGAAGCUCCAAGCGUCUGUUUCUUCAAUAUCUUUGUAACGGCUUGUCGGAUUGCCGAACCG
rnacentral:lncRNA from 1 species